rnacentral:sRNA from 1 species
GGGCAGGCCAUACGGACGCCAAAAAGUGUCCCUGGCCGCCUACACCCACUAUACAUCCACAAACCCGUGUGCACUGUCUUGGAGAAAGGCUUCAGAGAAGUUUUUUGUGGCCUCUCUUGGGGUCUUUCUUCGCUACAAACUCGAAUGGUUAGUAUGAACGUGGAACUUGGUUGGACCGUCACUGGCCAACAAACUAUACACAACUUUCGACAACGGAUCUCUUGGUUCUCCCAUCGAUGAAGAACGCAGCGAAACGCGAUAGGUAAUGUGAAUUGCAGAAUUCCGUGAAUCAUCGAAUCUUUGAACGCACCUUGCGCUCUAUGGCAAUCCGUAGAGCAUGCCUGUUUGAGUGCCAUGAAAUCUCCCACCCCAAGCGGUUUUUAAAUGAAACGGCUUGGCGGAUGGGGUCUGGAUGGGUGCCUCUGCCUGCGCUACCUAGCACAGGCUCGCCCGAAAUGCAUGAGCGCCUUGAGACACUUUGCAUCCGCCUCUCUGUUUGGGAGGAGGCGGCCAAGCAGUGUUUUUCUCCUGGCAUGGCAUGAUACGUCAUUUGCUAUGUCGCCUAAAGGAGGA